rnacentral:miRNA from 1 species
CAGGAUAUCUAGUUAAAUUUGUUUUUAAGUAAACAAUACAAUUUUUUUUAGUAUAAGUAUGUUCCUCCAAGAUUUGGGACAAACUUAUACUAAAAACUUUUCAUUGUUUCUCUGAAUUUCAAGUUCUUCAAUAUUCCU